AAAGAAUGAAAGAUGAUGGGGGCCCAGCACAGUGGAUCACGUCUGAAAUCCCAGCACUCUGGGAGGCUGAGGCAGGAGGAUUACUUGAGGCCAGGAGUUCAAGACCAGCCUGGCCAACAUGGCAAAACUUCAUCUCUACUAAAAAUACAAA